rnacentral:tRNA from 2 species
GGGGGAUUAUCUUAGUGGUAGAGUGUUUGCUUCGCAUGUGAAUUGCCCGGGUUCGAUUCCCGGAUCCUCCA